rnacentral:rRNA from 1 species
GAUAAGUACGUGCCAGCAGGCGCGGUAAGACGUAGGUUGCAAGCGUUGGCCGGAAUUAUUUGGCGUAAAGCGCGCGCAGGCGGUGCUUUAAGUCUGAUGUGAAAGCCCACGGCUCAACCGUGGAGGGUCAUUGGAAACUGGGGGACUUGAGUGCAGAAGAGGAAAGCGGAAUUCCACGUGUAGCGGUGAAAUGCGUAGAGAUGUGGAGGAACACCAGUGGCGAAGGCGGCUUUCUGGUCUGUAACUGACGCUGAGGCGCGAAAGCGUGGGGAGCAAACAGGAUUAGAUACCCUAGUAGUC